GGUGGCUCAGUGGUAGAGUGCUUGCCUUACAUGCACGAGGCCCUGGGUUCGAUUCCUCAGCACCA
rfam:Dipodomys ordii contig_59936, whole genome shotgun sequence.